rnacentral:lncRNA from 1 species
AAAACCGCCGACGCUCUGGAGGGGGACCUGUGUUGAGCUGGCAGAGACUGGGCUGUGGGGGCGUCCUCACCUUCAGAGAGCCUGCAGACGCCGAGAGGGUCUUGGCCCAGGCAGAUCACGAACUACAUGGUGCCCAGCUGAGCCUGCGGCCAGCUCCACCACGAGCCCCUGCACGCCUGCUGCUCCAAGGACUGCCCCCUGGCACCACGCCCCAGCGCUUGGAGCAGCAUGUCCAGGCCUUGCUGCGGGCCUCGGGGCUCCCAGUACAGCCUUGCUGUGCCUUGGCCAGCCCCCGGCCAGACCGGGCUCUGGUCCAGUUGCCCAAGCCCCUUUCUGAGGCAGGUGAGAGGCAGGGUUGGGGUUGAGGUGCUGGCUAGGGGGGAUUCCCUGAGCUGACCUGCACAUACCCCACAGAUGUCCGUGUCCUGGAGGAGCAGGCCCAGAAUCUGGGCCUGGAGGGGACCUUGGUGUCCCUGGCCCGGGUUCCCCAGGCCCGAGCGGUGCGUGUGGUGGGGGAUGGUGCCUCUGUGGACCUGCUGUUGCUGGAGUUGUACCUGGAGAAUGAGCGCCG